AACAUUGACAAUUCGAACGCACAUUGCGGCCCUAG
rnacentral:rRNA from 1 species